GAACGCGUGGAGCAAUCCACGAGUGGCGGACGGGUGAGUAACGCGUGGGAACCUGCCCUUGAGUGCGGGAUAACCGAGGGAAACUUCGGCUAAUACCGCAUGCGCNCCCGGGGAAACCCGGGGGAAAGAUUUAUCGCUCGAGGAGGGGCCCGCGUCGGAUUAGCUAGUUGGUGGGGUAACGGCCUACCAAGGCGAUGAUCCGUAGCUGGUCUGAGAGGAUGAUCAGCCACACUGGGACUGAGACACGGCCCAGACUCCUACGGGAGGCAGCAGUAGGGAAUAUUGGACAAUGGGGGCAACCCUGAUCCAGCAAUGCCGCGUGAGUGAUGAAGGCCUUAGGGUUGUAAAGCUAUUUCGCGCGCGACGAUGAUGACGGUAGCGCGAGAAGAAGCCCCGGCUAACUUCGUG
rnacentral:rRNA from 1 species